UAACAUCUAAGUGAAUUAACCUCAACAACUUUGUGAUUCUUUCUUCUUUCCAAAAGAAUAAAGAUUCGAACCUUUCUCCUCUAUACAACUUUAACAAGAAGGUAUUGGAUCCGGAUCUAACGAUCCAAAGCAUCCAUCUUUCACCAACUCGUAACUUAUGUUUUAGAGGUAUCACAACUUUAGUUGGGAUUAGUCACUACCUUGCAACCUUUUGGGUUUUAAGCAU
rnacentral:lncRNA from 1 species